UAAAGAGUUCCAGCGUUAAGCCCUGGCUAGCUGGACGGCAACCCUCCAACCGCGGUGGGGUGCUCCGGUGGAGACCUGGCCCUUUACGGGCAAGCGCGG
rnacentral:ncRNA from 1 species